rnacentral:rRNA from 1 species
GAUGAACGCUGGCGGCGUGCCUAAUACAUGCAAGUCGAGCGAACAGACGAGGAGAUUGCUCCUCUGACGUUAGCGGCGGAAGGGUGAGUAACACGUGGAUAAACUACCUAUAAGACUGGGAUAACUUCGGGAAACCGGAGCUAAUACCGGAUAAUAUAUUGAACCGCAUGGUUCAAUAGUGAAAGACGGUUUUGCUGUCACUUAUAGAUGGAUCCGCGCCGCAUUAGCUAGUUGGUAAGGUAACGGCUUACCAAGGCGACGAUGCGUAGCCGACCUGAGAGGGUGAUCGGCCACACUGUAACUGAGACACGGUCCAGACUCCUACGGGAGGCAGCAGUAGGGAAUCCUCCGCAAUGGGCGAAAGCCUGACGGAGCAACGCCGCGUGAGUGAUGAAGGUCUUCGGAUCGUAAAACUCUGUUAUUAGGGAAGAACAAAUGUGUAAGUAACUAUGCACGUCUUGACGGUACCUAAUCAGAAAGCCACGGCUAACUACGUG